GCCUGUAUAGCUCACUUGGUGAGAGUGUGGUACUCAUAACACCACGGUUGCAGGUUCAAUACCCCUAUGGGACA